GCGCAGCAGUGUAGUUGCCGUAGCAAUCUUCAAAGCAGCUGCUUUUCUAUUAUUUCUUGUCCACGUACCAAGUCUAGUCCUGAUCCUUUGAGAAGUCUUUAGACCUGUACUGUUCUAUGCAUUCAGAGCUCAAGGGGAAGAGAAGUUUUCAAGUCAUAAACUAAAAAAACAAACUUCAAAACGUUGGGCAUUAAGUUGAAGGUCAAUUUCCAGCCACUCUAAAGCUGUUGUGAUGCUACAAUUUAGAGCUCUAAAGGAGAGCAGAAGUAUCAAGUCAUCAGCACAAAAGAAAAAAGGUCCGUCAUAAAGUUGGUCAAUCACUCUGAAGCUGAUUGUAACGCUGCUGUUUAGGUGGAGUGCUGUUAAUGUUGUCAAAUCUUUGCGAGGGAGCAGAAAUCAAACAUGCAGAGGGUACCAAACGAUGUAACUAUUUUGUACACUUUCUUAGAUAGAUUAGUCAUAGGAUGUUUUACUUAGUUCACUGUUAAUCAUUUAAUUUGAAGUAUGCUGUAUCAAUGCAAUGUCUCUUGUUGCUAUGACAAUGUGAUGUACUUGUAA